GCCAGUUGGAACCGUCCUGGACCAAGGGAAGUCAGUUUACAGCCUUAGAGUGAGUCUUUUAAUAUAUGGAAUAUUUAGCCAUAACACUGAAGGAUUCAAAGAGAAGUUGGAUUUGGAAGUCGGAGCUUGCAAGGAGCCUGGCUCUUCAUCUUUCCUUAUAAACCUGCACACAAGGUCAUGAAAACCACCAUUCCAUCUCAGGACCAGCCUGCUCUUCCGUUUUGCGAAUUCAUAGGCGGUCAGCCUGCCGAUUCCAUGCCCAGCUCCAGUGAUGAGGACU